rnacentral:rRNA from 1 species
AUAUAGAUUAAGUUAUUAAGGGCGCACGGUGGAUGCCUUGGCACUAGAAGCCGAUGAAGGACGUUACUAACGACGAUAUGCUUUGGGGAGCUGUAAGUAAGCUUUGAUCCAGAGAUUUCCGAAUGG